rnacentral:rRNA from 1 species
UGGGGAAUAUUGGGCAAUGGGCGCAAGCCUGACCCAGCGACGCCGCGUGAGGGAAGAAGGUCUUCGGAUUGUAAACCUUUGUAGACAGGGACGAAACAAAUGACGGUACCUGUAAAGUAAGCCACGGCUAACUACGUGCCAGCAGCCGCGGUAAUACGUAGGUGGCAAGCGUUAUCCGGAUUUACUGGGUGUAAAGGGUGUGUAGGCGGGGAUGCAAGUCAGAUGUGAAAUUUCGAGGCUUAACUUCGGAACUGCAUUUGAAACUGCAACUCUUGAGAGUCGGAGAGGUAAGC